UUAGGCCUUAGAUUUUUUUGGUACAAUUUAGAUACAAUAUCUUAAAGCUACAGUAAAUUUAGGUUCUCCAAUUGAAUCCAAACAUCUGAUUUCAUCAACCAAUAAAAGAAAAAUAGUGUUAUCUUAGUAAAAGACAAUUAAAUUCAAUGCAGCCAGGUACUAUACCUAAGUUUUAGAUAUUUAUUAGUUGGGAAGAGUGUAUUUCUAUCUUCUUCGAAUGUAUUGUGAUUCUAGAGAGUGCUUUGUUUGCUUCUCAUUUGCUAAUUGGAUGUUUCUUCAAGUUUUUAUUUUUAUUUUUUGUUUGUUAAAAAAAUAUCAUUUUCUGUAUUUUUGUUUGUGUUCUUUUGCUUCUAUUUUUAUUAUCUAUUUCUUUCCAUUUAAUCAAAGCUUGAGCUGUGAAUUCUAAUGGGAGACUGCGAGGCUGCUCCUAACAUUUUGAUUUUAUUGUUUGUGUUUAUUUUUCUUUUGUUUUAUCUUCUAUUUCCGGUAUUGGGUUAGCCAGGGCAACAAAUGGUGCGACUUCUACAAAAUCUUCAUAUCAAAUAAUCCUUCCAGCAUCAGAAGUCAUGAGCUUGGUAAGCAGACUGUGCCUAUGAGUAAAUUGAAGCAAAAGCAAAGCGUAGCAAUCAGAAGGAUAUAGAAAAACUUCAAGAGGUCAGAGAUAUGCCCAAGCAUUGAAUGAUCAAGAUGAAGGAAGAGGCAUAUGCCACACCUCAGUUUUCCUCAAACUCUAAACAUCAAGUGCCCACUUUGAAAAAGCUGUUGUCAACUUCAGAGGCAGCACCAGUUACAGAAAAUAAAGUUCAAAGUGAACCAGCACCUAGACUGUUGCUUCAGCUUCUUUAAAUCCCAUGAGAUCCAUUAAAGGUACUCCAUCUUCAGUUGCUAUUGGCAAGAGAAAGAGGUAAUCCAUUAAAGGUACUCCAUCGUUAGUUGCUAUUGGCAAGAGAAGAGGCAAGAUGAGAAGCUAAAGGUUAUAUCCAAAGAAGAAGCAGCUACCCUUAAAGCAAGGGAAGUGGCAAAGAAGAGAGUUGAAGAACGGGAAAAACUAUUGCUUGGCCUCUACAGGCCCUUUUUAAUUUGAAUUCAUCUCGGAACAAGGGGUAUAUUUUUAGCCUUUUUUUUUUUUUUUUUUUUUUUUUUUUUUUUAAAUUUAUCCCAACGUAGAAGUUGAUGGGCUACUCCACACAAUAGAUAAAAUAACCAAAAUGAUUGCUUCCAUUCAGCUACCUAUUUCCUCCUCAUAACCCCAUAUGAUUAUGAGCAUGUUGUGUAGUGCACAAUCAUGUUGUGAGGAUUUAGGGUCUGAUAAUGCAAUGUCGACCUAUCAUUUGCUUAUCAUUUGCUUACUAGUCAGAAUAAGUAAACUGUGACUGCUACUAUU